UUUAACCAUUUAGGAUAGUAUUUGUUGUAAAAUUUGCUAAAUAGUCUUUUAUGUUUAGUUUCCUUCUACUUUAUUUUACCUGGAAGUUUAAAUAAGAAUGUCUUGUAAUUUCUUUUAUUUUAAAUGUCUUUUUCAGGAUGUCUUGCUAUGAUUGUAUAAUUUUUUUUCACUAAUUUGUUGACAUAAUGGAUUAAAUGAAUAGAUUUCCCAACACUGACUAAACAUGGACUCACCCUGGCAUUCCUGGCACAAACUCUGCUUAGUCUGAGGCUAUAUUAUUUCUUUGAUAUAUUGCUGAAUUCAACCUGCUAAUGACUUAACAUUUUUACACCUGUUUUUCUAGUUGAGACUGAUGUAGAUAUUCUUUUCCUUUUUUUUUUUUCAGAUAUUAGUGUUAUGCAUCAAAAAAUGAAUUGGGAAGCAUCUCAUCUCUAACUACAGCAAGAAAUAGUAGUCCUGGUCCCUGAACUACCCAGGAACCAGUCAGAAGUAUAUGUAAGUUGCAUGGUGCAGCCCAAGGUUGGACCACGAACUCAGACCAGCAAAGCCAGAAGUCAGCAUUUCUAUGGUGGCUGUCCUGCUCUCCAUGACUACACUUCUGUAGUCAUCUAGAGAUGAUGCACCAGCUGGCUGAGUACAGACCCAAGCCAGACCAAUCCUA
rnacentral:lncRNA from 1 species